GGAGAAAUACGAGCAGGCAUAUUACAACUCACGUAUGUGAAUCACACAGCCAGACUGUGAGCAAUCCCUGCGCUCAAAGUAUCUUCUUAACAGAAGGGAGAAAGAGGGAGCCAGAAACCAGUCUUCAGUCCCUACCACUGAGAGCUCUCGUGCAUAUACUUGGCCAGGGUGUCAGAGGGCGUGGAUUCUGAAGGGACGAUUGUAGCCAGCAGAAGAGAUGCCUUUUCCUUAGCCCUGUAGAACGUCUCUGGAAACAAACCUGGAGCCCAGUGCUGUGCAGGGACUCCCUGGAGAAGCAAGGGCCUUGAAACUCGACAGAAGUGCCCCACUGCUCCACCAAGAGUUCUCUUCUCGCACACAUGCCCUUCUUACCGGGAGCCAGCCUGUGAUGUCUCUGUGCUGAACCCACUGUUUCCUUCUCCGGCAUCGCUAAGCUCUGGGCAUGUGGGUCGCAAGGAGAUGUUAAAAAUUCAGAAGUACAAUUUGAUCCAUUUGCACGCAACCUCCUGAAUGACUCUUAAUUACAUAAAAAUCUCUCUGCCCAAUGGCAAAAUGUAACAGAUGUUUGAACUGUUUACCCAGUUGUACUUGCCAUCUUUCUAAAGUAUAGAGCUAAGAAGGCCCUAACUCAAUACCCUGAGAAACAUGAGGCUCUUUUUCUGGUGUUACUGAGGUAGAUGGCAGUACCAGGGCAUUUUAUCCAAAGAGAAGUGGGUGGGACCAACUGAGUAGACCAGUGUAAUGUUUUGCACAUUUUCAAAGCAUUCAAUCCAGUAUUAGUCCUGCAACUCCUAUUGACAAGUGCUACAGCUGAAUCCCUGCGCACUUCCUUGAAAAUGUAGGGGAAAGUGUUGCUGGUCUCUAGACUCUUGAGGUACCAGAGUUCUCAUUUAAUACUGCAACUACAUACAUAAAGUUCAGCUUCCGAAGUUAAAUCCAAAUGGCAUUAAAACAUUACAAAAAAUUCUGCUGAGACAAACUGUCUUGCAAUAAAUGCUGAAUAUGCCAUCUGUGUUCUGAAUCA
rnacentral:lncRNA from 1 species